GACGAACGCUGGCGGCGUGCUUAACACAUGCAAGUCGAACGGAAAGGCCCUGCUUUUGUGGGGUGCUCGAGUGGCGAACGGGUGAGUAACACGUGAGUAACCUGCCCUUGACUUUGGGAUAACUUCAGGAAACUGGGGCUAAUACCGGAUAGGAGCUCCUGCUGCAUGGUGGGGGUUGGAAAGUUUCGGCGGUUGGGGAUGGACUCGCGGCUUAUCCGCUUGUUGGUGGGGUAGUGGCUUACCAAGGCUUUGACGGGUAGCCGGCCUGAGAGGGUGACCGGCCACAUUGGGACUGAGAUACGGCCCAGACUCCUACGGGAGGCAGCAGCGGGGAAUAUUGCACAAUGGGCGGAAGCCUGAUGCAGCAACGCCGCGUGCGGGAUGACGGCCUUCGGGUUGUAAACCGCUUUCGCCUGUGACGAAGCGUGAGUGACGGUAAUGGGUAAAGAAGCACCGGCUAACUACGUG
rnacentral:rRNA from 1 species